rnacentral:misc_RNA from 1 species
GAUGAAGAACGUAGCGAAAUGCGAUAAGUAAUGUGAAUUGCAGAAUUCAGUGAAUCAUCGAAUCUUUGAACCCACAUUGCGCCCGCUAGUAUUCUGGCGGGCAUGCCUGUCCGAGCGUCAUUUCAACCCUCAAGCCCCCGGGCUUGGUGUUGGGGAUCGGCGAGCCUCCGCGCCCGCCGUCCCCUAAAUCUAGUGGCGGUCUCGCUGUAGCUUCCUCUGCGUAGUAGCACACCUCGCACUGGGAAACAGCGCGGCCACGCCGUUAAACCCCCAACUUCUGAACGUUUGACCUCGGAUCAGGUAGGAAUACCCGCUGAACUUAAGCAUAUAAUAAGCGGAGGA